rnacentral:tRNA from 1 species
GCGGAGGUUGCCGAGUCAGGAAAAGGCGUGGGAUUUAGGGUCCCAUCCCGUAGGGGUCCGAGGGUUCAAAUCCCUCCCUCCGCA